CCUACGGGUGGCAGCAGUGGGGAAUAUUUCACAAUGGGCGAAAGCCUGAUGCAGCGACGCCGCGUGAGUGAAGAAGGACUUCGGUUUGUAAACCUCUAUCAGCAGGGAAGAAAAUGACGGUACCUUAUUAAGAAGGCCCGGCUAACUACGUGCCAGCAGCCGCGGUAAUACGUAGGGUGCGAGCGUUAUCCGGAUUUACUGGGUGUAAAGGGAGCGAAGACUGCUGUGCAAGUCUGGGGUGAAAGGCGGGGGACCAACCCCCGGACUGCUCUGGAAACUGUAAAGCUGGAGUGCCGGAGAGGUAAGCGGAAUGCCUAGUGUAGGGGUGAAAUGCGUAGAUAGUAGGAGGAACACCAGUGGCGAAGGCGGCUUACUGGACUGCAACUGACGUUGAGGCGCGAAAGCGUGGGGAGCAAACAGGAUUAGAUACCCCUGUAGUC
rnacentral:rRNA from 1 species